CCUACGGGUGGCAGCAGUGAGGAAUAUUGGUCAAUGGGCGGAAGCCUGAACCAGCCAAGUAGCGUGCAGGAUGACGGCCCUACGGGUUGUAAACUGCUUUUAUACGGGAAUAACGCGCCUUACGUGUAGGGCUUUGCAUGUACCGUAUGAAUUAGGACCGGCUAAUUCCGUGCCAGCAGCCGCGGUAAUACGGGGGAUGCGAGCGUUAUCCGGAUUUAUUGGGUUUAAAGGGUGCGCAGGCGGAAUGUCAAGUCAGCGGUAAAAUUUCGGGGCUCAACCCCGUCGUGCCGUUGAAACUGGCGUUCCUGAGUGAGCGAGAAGUAUGCGGAAUGCGUGGUGUAGCGGUGAAAUGCAUAGAUAUCACGCAGAACUCCGAUUGCGAAGGCAGCAUACCGGCGCUCAACUGACGCUCAUGCACGAAAGCGUGGGUAUCGAACAGGAUUAGAUACCCCUGUAGUC
rnacentral:rRNA from 1 species